rnacentral:rRNA from 1 species
GGGUAAUAAAACCUAAAGGCAAAACAAAAGUAAAGAAAGCUUUGCUUUUUAAGGGAAGAUGGUUAAAUUUUAGCCCGCACUCCUGGGGCGUUAAUUACUCAUUGCGAGUAAAGGCGCACCUAGAGCAUACAUGUUGGGUCCCGAAAGAUGGUGAACUAUACCUGACCAGGAUGAAGCCAGGGGAAACCCUGGUGGAGGUCCGUAGCGAUUCUGACGUGCAAAUCGAUCGUCAGAGUUAGGUAUAGGGGCGAAAGACUAAUCGAACCAUCUAGUAGCUGGUUCCCUCCGAAGUUUCCCUCGGAUAGCUGUGCCGAUAUGAUCACGCCCGGCG